UAAAUAAAUAUAAUACUUAAUUGUCUUGGCAAAUGAGUUUUGUUAAAUAAUUAUUUCUGCUACAAGAUGCUUUUGUUCUAAAAUAUAGUCUAAGUAGAGUCGAUUCUUAUAAAUAAUUGAGAGAUUGAUUAGUAGCAAAGCAAUAAUGUAAGAAAACGUAAGUAAUGAAAUCAUACAGAAUUAAAACGGCGUUAAUAAAUUUUUGAGCUUGUGUAUAAUAUACACAGUGUAAACAUUGCUCUUUUUGCUUUAGGAUUGAAAUUAUCAUACAUACUCUUAAAAAAAAGACGAUUAAACAACUCAUUUUGGGACCCAGCGCAGUGAUGCCCAGAAUCGAAUCUUUUUGCACCGUCGUGCUGCAUGGGGAGGAUGGCUGGCAGCACGAUGCUGCAAAAAGAUUCGAUACUGGCGUUCGGCAUACCGCGCGGUGUGGCGCCACAUCUGGCGCGUGAAGUUAACCGCGCGGCGCGGCGUCACCUUUGACGCGUGAAGUUGACCGCGCGAGAAAGACGGAGUCGCUUCACUCUGUCUUUUCGUGUAUCACUUUCGGAACGCGACGGACGCAGGAUGGACCGGCUCCGGAACAAGUGGCACCGCGAAUCUCUUAAUUGAUCGUGGCUAGACUGACAUGGAUCGGUGCCGGGGUGAAUAUUGCGCCAUGUCCACUAGAACGCAACGAACGCAGGAUGGACUGACUUCAGAACAAGUGGCAUCGUAAAUCUUUUAAUUGAUCGCGGCAAGUCUGUGAUGGAUCGGUACCGGGGAGAAUGUCGCGCCACGUCCGCUCGGACGCAGCGUCACGGUUAAGAUAGAUUCGAUUGCUCUCUAACAAUGUCGGGAACUUUAACAGAUAUUCCUGGGGAUAGAAUCACGAUGUAACGACGAUCAAUAAAGCGAGGGGGCCCUAGAACGCCAGGAGGAGCGUAUUCAUCGCUGGGGGAAAUGCAAGAUACAGCGCCUCAUGGAAGUCAAGGAAGCGUAAGGAGCUAACUUAGAGAAUGGAAGGCUCUUGAAGGAGUAGACCACGGGUAGUAGAAGGAGAUUGUCGGGAGCGGGGUCUCGGAAUAAUCUCUUUAAGAGCUUCAGGUAUUGAAGCGCAGUUUGGUGCGGAAGUCUCUCCUACUCGACCGCAACCCUUCUCGAUGGCUGUCGCGCUCACGAGCAUGAUCGACACGGCCCCUAGUUUAUAUGCGGCCGUUGAUAUCGUCGCGACUGAUACCGUCGUAAAAUAAUUUCUCCCCCUCGAGUAUCAACGAGCUAUAUUUUGCGCGGGCGCGAUUCGGCGUACGUCUCACAGUGAUUACCCCCUACUUUGUUAUUUUAAUGAUCGUAAAUAUCGCGUUACCUAACGACAGCGCGUCCGUGCGCCGGGCUGAGAAUUAAUUAUGAUGGAUUAUCUAAUUAGUUACAAGGGGAAAAAUGUUUUAUUAAUCGCUCUUUUUAAAAGGACGGCGUACACGCGGAUUCUUAUCGGCGGGCGACCUCAUUCCAGGUUAAUUGCGUGAAAAGUACACCCGGUACAUUGUAUGCAGGCGGAGGGGGGGGGGCAACUUGGGAAAGCGGUAGCCAUCCGGCGUAAUUUGGUGGAUGAUGGGCCUAUUAAGAGCCCGCUGAAAUGUUGCGCCAUUCUGGACAAUAUAUAGCCGUUUCCGUUUUACCUUGUCAUCGCUAUAUUUCGUACGCCCGGGGUGACAUAUCUUACAUCGCGGCUCAUUAAUGCCCGGCAUGAAAAAUGCGACGGCGAACUUAACGUGGAAAAUGCGUUAACAAUGUUGCAGUAUAUUAAAAAAAAAAAAGGGUUGACGCUAAAGCUCGCGCCGACUACUCGUUCGAUUCGUGACCACGCGUUUUUCUCGGCCGCGAAUGCGAAAAUACGGGGAAGAACCGGGUUUUAUACCUUAAUCGUAACAUUUCUUGCAAUUCUAUUAUGUGCUCGCGAGCAGUGAAAAUGGCGCUUUAUGACGACAGUCUGGAAACUUCGGUAGCGUCCACGAAGCGACACAACUCACCCUAUAAAGUCGACUUUAUGGGAAAACUAGUGUCCUUUCCUGCCGGUACACUUCUUUUUCGCGAGGAAGUUCUCCGCACAACUCUAAGGCUUGUAAAAAAAUCGCUUUGUUUAUCGCAGUCAGAAAGCAAACCAUCCCCGAAAACGGACUACGAUCGAUUAAUGGAGGUUUACAAGGAUUGCGAAACGUUUUAUGCCGAUAGUAAUCGCACGUACUUGCUUGCAAUCUCGUUUUUCUGCGUUUUAUCAGCACGAAGAGCUAAAGAGGGAUUGUACUUAAAUUCAUUUUGAAAGCAACGCGAGGCACCACGUAGCGUGAUGACCUCAAUCUGGGAGUUAUCAACAGAGAUCUCUGCGGAGAAUUAAUUUUAGAAUUGAUUUCGGUGGAGAAGGACGAACGCUUUUACUAGUAGAACUUUGGUAUUGUGGGCGGCUGUCGAAAAUCGAAGACGAAUUUCGAGAAAUCAAGCGCGACAGCAAGGCUGUGUAAAUUAAAAUUUGCUUUCUCGGAUAACAGGAGUUUCGCGCCGUUCGGAAUGUCCUCUACCUCUCUCUCUCUCUCUCUUUCUCUCUACCUCACUCUAUCUACCGCUUUGGUUUGCUUCCCGAGUCUUUCGUCUCGAAUGGAUCGCGGCCGGUUACCAAACGUUCAAUUUGACUUGGGAACUUUUCACGGAUGGUAUUCCGCAUUCCUUUUAUUCGGAGAAACUCGCGAAACUUGAGCGGCGCGGAGCGCUAGACAACGGCUUGCGGUUAGAACUGGGUUGAGCUGAAGCGUGGAAGAGAUGAAUAGCGCGGGAGAAGGGAACGGCAAAUAAUAUGAUCAGAGACAGGGCGGAUAGCGUAUAAGAAAGACCGAGGGACGGCGUGGAUAGGAAACAACCUCGCAAGGACAAGGCUAAACGACACUUCAUACAUGGGAGAUUAUCGCGCCUGGCGGGCGCUGAUACCAGGGAUGUUUCAGCCCUCGGUCCUUUGCCGUCCCUUAGCUCUCCUUAGCGCGCCACCACCAUGCCCUGUCUCAUCUUCAGCCCCUUCACGCCCUCCCCCCCCCCCCCCGAGUUCAUUACUCACAUGCAAAUAACCGACCUCCUCGGCCGAGAAUUCCCUUAUUUCUACGCAUCGCCGCGAUGUCUUUUAAAACUAUUUUUUUUUUCCUUUCUCGACGCCAGAGACGCCGCUCCCUCCGAUUUUCUCUCUCGCGGCCGACCCUCGCGCGCGUCCCCGUUUCUUUCUUAUCGGGGAAAAACCGAGACUCUUAUAACAAGGAGAAGAGAAUGAGCGUUAUUAGAUUUCCAAUAUUUAUGAAGCGCGCUAUGCCAUGCAGUACCUCCGAGGGAAAUACAAUAAUCGUUUCCGGAACGACGAAGUUCGCGGGUUUGUAAAAUCUAGUUACGCGGUCCCGAGCGUAAGUUAGAUUAAAUUAAAUAAGACCGGCAAGAGCGGUGCCGCGAAUCAACCGCGAGCGCUUCCUUGCGCACGCGGAAGAACUUCCAUUCCGUAGAGAUCGAGAGUUACGCGAGCCGAAAGCCCGUCGGGACAUUCUUUGUGCCGAGAUUCGAGGUAUAUCGUAUAACCGUCGGCGUUAUAGCCGAUUCUCUUUCCACGCCGCUUUUUCCUUUCGAGUCGCCUCGACGACCACCGAAGAAAGAAUGGUUUUGAGCGGCGAAGAAGUCCAGGGAGAGGGGGGGAAGGGGGGAGGGGCAAGGGAAAGAGAAAUUCAGCCAUGCCGAUCUUACGACAGUCGCAUUAACCGGUCGGGACAGGAAUGCGAGUCACGUAAGAGCGGGAGCGAAAUUCGUCGUUUAGCUUUCGUCGACGUAGCCCUGUCACCUCGUACGUACAAGCGCCGAGAGGAGGCGAGUGUAGAGAAAGAAAAUAUAAGAGGAGAAAAGAGGAGAGAGGAGAGGACGGUGGCGUGGCGGAAAAAUAAAAAGAGCAGACAUAGCGAGAGAGGUAAGAGAGGGUACCGUAAAAGAGAGGGAUGAAGGAGAGACGAGGGGUGGGGGGUGGGGGGAGGGUUAGGCGAGACGUCGUGCACGGUGCUGGUCUGGGAAGGCGAGAUCUCUGUAUUCGCGGCAGGAACCCGAACACUCGAUAGUGUGCUUUAGAAAAAUUCGUGACAGAACUGCUAAAGCGAACGGCGCACAAUUUACGUUAUUAAAUCGGCGGAACGGCUCGAAGCACCGGACGAGUGCUGCCUAUUCGACGUUAUUCCGCGUUUAAGUUCCUUUCGACUCCGCAUUUGCCCUCCCCGCUUGCGCGUCCCCGUGGCUACCACCGGUCGCUUAUACUUCAACCCCUUCGUCGACCAAGAUGCCUUCCCCCCCCCCCUCCUCCCCUCCGUUCCCCGGUGCUCUGGCCGUACGUACCGAUGACGGUCCUUGCUUUUCACGUAUCACGAUAAGAUUCUUCGGGGUUUCGGCGCGGGGCCAUAAGGCGACCUGGAUUUCCGCCGAAAUUCAGGACUAUGCGUUCGUUUGGUGGUCACGUCCGCGCAACGAAACGAAUUCGAAAUUAUUCUUCGAAGCUAUCCAGUGGCGGUUUUGCGCCAUUCGGUUAGAGGAUUCUGACGGUUAUUGACGCGAGUACGUACUGACUUAGCAUUAGAUGCUUUUAAAUUACGAAGAUAUACUUUAUAUAUAUAGAGAGACACUAAUUUCUGUGAUAGAUUCCUGGAAUUAAAACGAAAACAUCGUAUUUUCUUAAUUUUUAUGCAAAAUAAAUCUGUAAAUGUUAAAAAAAAUACAAUCUAAUAUACACACGAGUGAAAAUGUUUAAAAAGAAGCUUACUUUAUAAAGCAUUCUUCUCAAUUUAUUCUAUCUUCUUCCUUCUGCACGCUGAGUUAAAUAGAAAUUAUUGCUUCAUCAAAUUUCUUUCGUUAUAAAAUUACGUUAACAAUUAUUUGCAAAAAAUAUAUAAUUAAAUUAGUACAAUUGUGCACGCCUCGUGUUACACCGUGCGCUUCUCCCUAGAAUGUUAUGGGAAAUUCCCUAGGAUUUUCUUUUGUACCGCGCCCUCGGCGAGCGUCGUCUGGUGGCGCCCUUGAUUCGAUACAUUCCUAUACCGAUCGCCUCUCUGUACGGACGACGAGAAAGUUUUGUUAAAAUAAAGAGCGUCCGCAUACGCAAGGUAAAUCAAGCAUUCGUAAUUUACCAAAAGACUCAACAUUUUGGUCCUUCGAGCCGGAUUCAGCUAUUCGAGGUGGAUAUAUUCGAGUAUUACCGGCUGCCUCGUCAACACAAAGGGGCACGCCGAGCUCGCUGGACGAGACAGAGAGGAAGGUCGUCCGCCAUUAUCGUACGACCACAUCGCACAUACAUUUUCGUACUCGUUGCAACGCAAGUUACAAGCGUUCGCGACGAUUCGGCAUUCGGCCAAAGAAGCUUCUCACACUCAAACACGAGGCUUCCAUAUAAUCGUCAUCGUUGUGCGGCACCACGCCGACGAAACGCUUCGAAAAGCCGCCUAACCUCAUGCAACAAAGGCAAUUAGAGGUUAUAUCAACAGCAGUCAAGGAAAUUUCUACGAGUUUCAACGUCGGGGACCGUAAGAUUUCUUGGGCCGCAUUCUAAGCGCAUCUUGGGCACAUUUCAAACAUCGUCAGGAACAUCGCAGCAUACAAGGACAGCAUCACCUGUAUCCACGUGAAUGGGAACGUCGCAUCGUACGAAGACACUAUCGUUCGUAGCUACACGCAAGUAGCUUAUAAGUAUAACAUUGUAAUACCCAAAUCUUCAAUAUUGUCGUAAUUUCGUCAUUCCGACUGUAUUCGUAACCUCUGCUCGUUUUGAUUCGUUAAUCGUUUAACUUGACAAUAUGGAUACGCUCUCAGCAAGCGAAGCAAAAAACAAGCGCAAAACCAUUAAGGCUACGGCCACGCGAAUUCGAAAUUUUUUGGAUAGCGUAGAUCCCACUCAUUUAUCGCGAUUUGAUUUAACCGAACGGAUUAAAAAAUUAUCUCUUUUGUGGGAUCAAUACGAUCAAGUACAAACUCGCAUUGAAUCUUUAGAUUUCUCCGAGCCGGGGGAGAAAAACGAGGCUGACAUGCUCAAGCAACAUAACGACGAGCGUACUAGUUUUGAAACAGCAUACUUUAAUCUUGUAGCUCGAUUCGAAUCGACUCUUCAUCAGCUCGAGCUUCGCGAAAAUCAUGAAAACGCUAGGCCUCAGAAUCCCUCGGCACAAACUCAAAAUAAUUCAUCAGCUCAAAUUCGUCUGCCCAAAAUUAAUUUGCCAACUUUUUCAGGAAGUAGUGAAGAGUGGUACAAUUUUUUUGAUUCAUUUGAGAAACUAAUCAACAGCAACUCGACACUCUCUGACAUCCAGAAAUUCCAUUACCUGAGAUCGGUACUCAAGGGUAAGGCUGCUGAGGUUAUCGAGGCCUUUGAAAUCACAACGGAAAACUACAGAGAAGCAUGGGAGUCAUUGAUUGAGCGAUACGAUAAUCGUAGACGUAUUGUUCAAACACACAUCGAGUCGCUUUUUGAUUUACCGCCCAUGGCAAAGGAAAAUCAUACACAAUUGCGCGCUUUGCUCGACGGAAUGUGUAAACACUUACGUGCUCUUAAGGCUCUUCAAAGACCUGUCGAUUCUUGGGACGACAUGAUCAUUCAUCUGGUGAGUUCCAAAUUAGAUGCGAUAACAAAAAAGGAGUGGGAAACGAGUCGUUCGGACUCUUCAAUGCCUACUUUCAAGGAACUUAAGGAUUUUCUUCUACAAAGAUGUUUAGCUCUAGAGGCAGUAGCAAGUAAACCUUCUAAUUCGAGUUUAGCUACUAAUACUUCAUUUCAAAAAUCAAAAAGGACCGUCGCGAACGCAGCCAUUGCGAAUUUAGCCUGUAACUGUUGCAAGGAAAAUCAUUUUCUCUAUCAAUGUGAGUCGUUUAAAAAAUUGCCAGUAGAUAAACGGUUUAAAAUCGUAAAAAAUUCACAUUUAUGCAUUAAUUGUUUGAAAACUAGCAAACACCAAGCAAAAAACUGUCCUUCAUCAUCCUGUCGCAGGUGUCAGGGGGGGCAUAAUACUCUUUUGCAUUUUGAGUCGAAUACCGCGCAAGGUACAAGUUCGCAAGAUGUUACUCCAAGCACUGAGGAAGUAUCUGCUCCAGUAGUUACUCAAUGUUCGCAACAAAAUCCCACGAAAGUGUUGUUAUCUACCGCCAUAAUUCACGUACAUGAUUCAAAGGGAAAGGCUCACGCGUGUCGAGCAUUAUUGGAUAGCGGCUCGCAAUUGAAUUUUUUGACGGAAGAAUUUGCCAAAAGGUUGCAUCUUACUAGACAAUCCGUAAAUAUUCCAAUUUCGAGUAUUGGACAAAGUAACGUCGAAGCAAAAAAUUCGGUCAAUAUUGUAAUACGUUCUCGAUUCAACGCGUAUCAAGAAAGGUUAAAUUGCAUCAUUUUGCCAAAAAUAACUGAGAGAUUACCGCAAAAUUUCAUAUCACUUUCACAAUUAAAAAUACCGUCGAACAUUCAACUUGCAGAUCCAAACUUUAACACUCCAGAUGACAUAGAUCUACUGAUAGGCGCCGAAGCAUUCUGGCAAUUUAUGUGUGUUGGUCAAAUUAAAGGUUCUAAGGAUCAUCCUACUAUUCAGAAAACGAAACUUGGUUGGAUUCUUUCAGGACACACUCGUGAUCCUCAAAAGGAGAAACGCAAGGCUGUUUGUCACUUGGUCACGAACCGCGAUCUCAGUGAGACAAUUUCCAAAUUCUGGCAAGUGGAAAACGACUAUUUCAAUAAUACAAGCCCUUUUUCGCGUGAAGAACGCGCGUGUGAAACACUCUUUCAACAAAGCACUAGGCGUAAUGAAGAGGGUAGGUUUAUCGUUAAACUUCCUAUUAAGGAAGACGUAAUUUCGCAGCUAGGUGAGUCCAAAGAAAUUGCCGAGCGUCGGUUUCUCGCAUUAGAAAAACGAUUGUCGAGACAACCUGAUAUUUAUGACAGUUAUCGUAGUUUUAUGCGCGAAUAUCAAGAACUUCAGCAUAUGCAUUUAAUAAAGGAAACAGCAAGUCAGAAUGAGAGCACUUGUUACUAUUUACCGCAUCACUCGGUGCUAAAGGACACAAGCACCACUACUAAAUUGCGCGUUGUUUUCGAUGCUUCGUGCAAGACUCAAUCGGGAAAAUCGUUGAACGACGCGUUACUUGUCGGUCCUAUCAUUCAACAGGACUUGUUCUCCAUAUUAUCUCGAUUUCGCACGUUCCAAGUUGCAAUGACCGCCGACAUCGCAAAAAUGUAUAGACAAGUUCUUAUCGACCCGUCACAACGAUGUCUUCAACGCAUUCUUUGGCGCGAUAUUCCGCAACAAGAAAUAAAAACUUUUGAACUCGCUACUGUGACAUAUGGUACUGCACCCGCGUCGUUUUUAGCCAUACGUUCCUUACAAGCGUUAGCUCAGGAAGGUUCUAACUCGUACCCGUUGGGAUCUGAAAUAGUUCUGAGAGACUUCUACGUUGAUGAUAUGCUAACUGGUGCAUCUUCUUUAAAAGAAGCUUCAGAAAUAAAGAAGCAAACGACUGCCCUACUUCAAGGCGGCGGUUUUGAGUUAAGGAAAUGGUUUUCUAACGAUCCUUUAUUGCGGGAUAACGUUUCCGUAAACAACAAAGAAAUUGAUCCAGAUUCUGAGCAUGCUAAAACUCGUGCGCUUGGAGUUUCGUGGAAUUGUAAUCGAGACGUAUUUAAUUUCAUAAACUUGGACAGCUAUCAACCAUUAGCUAGAACUACAAAACGAAAUAUCUUGGCGAGAAUCGCUUUAAUUUUCGAUCCAUUGGGACUUCUGGGUCCGGCUAUAGUAAUUGGGAAACUCAUUAUGCAGAAACUAUGGCUAUUGAAAAUCGACUGGGACGAAUCGGUUCCUAUGGACCUUGAUACUCAGUGGCGGGAUUAUGAGCGACAGUUAAAAUGCUUAAAUAAUCUUGAAAUACCGCGAAAAAUAAUAAUUGAAGGAGCAAGGCGUAUCGAAUUGCAUGGUUUCGCGGACGCCAGUCAACAAGCAUACGGGGCUUGCGCAUAUUUGUGGUCUUUGUCUGAUAGCGGGAAGGUCGAAGUCCACUUAAUAGCUUCCAAAUCGCGGGUGGCUCCCGUCAAGAGCCUGUCGAUACCUCGUUUAGAGCUUUGCGGCGCUCUUUCGCUCGCCCUUUUAAUGAACAAACUGAAGAAAUCCUUAAAUGUUCAAAUUGAUGCUACACAUUAUUGGACGGACUCUAGUAUUGUAAUACAUUGGUUAAGAGGAUCAAGUCGAAAUUGGACAACCUUUGUUGCCAAUCGGGUUGGCGAAAUCCAAACGUUAACGUCAGUUGAAUCUUGGCGACAUGUAUCAAGCAGAGAAAACCCAGCAGACUUACUCUCGAGAGGCGUCAAGCCUGACGUAUUGCCGCUACAAGAAAUUUGGUGGCGCGGUCCCAAUUGGUUGCAAGGCACAAAAUCUGAUUGGCCUGUUUCUAUUAUGGACGAUUUGAAAGACGUGCCAGAUACAAGGGCUUCCGACAAAUCAUGCGUCUCGUGUGUCGUCAUUGCAGAGCCAGAAUUUGAUAUUUUUGAGAGAUACUCGAGUUACGAAAGACUUAUACGUAUCAUCGCGUUUUGCUUACGAUUUAUCAACGCCAUCAAACAUAAACGAAAAAAUGUUGAUCGUGAUUGCUUAAAGGGUAAUUCAGCCAAGGCUGUACCUUCGUUUUCCAAUGAUGAAUUAGAAAACUCGAAAUUAACGCUCGUUAAAAUUUUACAAAGGGGGUUUUUUAAAAAGGAAAUCGAUGAUAUCGCUAAUUUUGGUGUGGUAAACAAGAAAAGCUCGGUCUUAAAACUAAACCCUUUCCUGGAUGCGAAUGGAAUUUUGAGGGUUGGCGGUCGCUUAAAACAUGCGAAUUUACCGUAUGAUGCGAAACAUCCUAUUUUGUUACCUGGACGUCACACCUUUACUCGAUUACUUGUAGCAUAUGAACACAAACGAUUGUUGCAUGCCGGAGCUCAAAUGACUUUGUCGUCAAUUCGACAGAAUUUUUGGCCGUGCGUAGGUCGUAGCGUCGUUCGCGACGUCAUAAGUAAGUGCGUAGUUUGUUUUCGUAAUGCUCCGAAACCGUCUACCACUUUAAUGGGUAAUUUACCGGAAUCUCGCGUUACGACAUUUACGAGACCAUUCGAAAAAUGCGGAAUUGAUUAUGCCGGUCCGUUGUUUUACAAGGAAGGACAACGUAAAAAUUCACGAUUAAUCAAAUGUUUUAUAGCUAUAUUUGUGUGUUUUGCGACAAAGGCAAUACAUGUAGAAUUGGUAGGCGACCUCACUACCGAUGCCUUUUUAAAUACACUUAAACGCUUCAUUUCUAGAAGAGGUCGACCGAGUGACAUUUACUCUGAUAAUGGCUUGAAUUUUGUAGGUGCGAAACAUCAACUUAACGAAUUGUACGAUAUUCUCAACAAUGACGACUCGAGACGAAAGAUCGUGAACGCUGCAAGCAGUGAACGUAUAGAAUGGCACUUUAUCCCGCCAAGGGCUCCCCAUAUGGGAGGACUCUGGGAGGCCGCCGUGAAGGCUACAAAAUUCCAUAUUAAACGCGUUAUCGGUGAAGCUUCGCUGCGGUACGAAGAAUUUGUGACAUUGUUAGUUCAAAUUGAAGCCAUACUUAAUUCGAGACCGCUUACUCCACUGUCUGCGGAUCCUCAUGAUCUUUCGGCACUCACCCCUGCGCACUUUUUAAUAGGAUGUCCUAUCACCUCGUAUCCAGAACCGAAUCUGGAAGAUACUAAUAUAAACAGAUUGACGAGAUGGCAACGUGUUGAACUGCUGCGUCAACAUUUUUGGAGACGAUGGACGAAAGAAUAUUUACAUAAUUGUCAACAACGGAGUAAAUGGAAUACCACUGAAGUUCCUGUUACCGUAGGACAACUCGUUAUAAUACGCGAAGAUAAUUUACCCCCGUUACUCUGGGUUUUAGGCCGUGUUGUAGAAUCCUAUCCGGGUGAUGACAACCUCGUUCGUACGGUUUUAGUGCGUACCGCUAAGGGACUUUACAAACGACCCGUUACCAAACUUUGCGUUCUUCCAAUAGAUUAGAUUUAAUCCGUAUUCGUUUAAUAUUCAAUAGUAUAUAAGAUUUGUUUGUACUUCCAAUUUCUAUUACUUAUAUUUGAUUCCGUAAUUGUUUGAUUAUUGAAAGCACUCGCUUUCAAGGCGGGCGGUAUGUGCACGCCUCGUGUUACACCGUGCGCUUCUCCCUAGAAUGUUAUGGGAAAUUCCCUAGGAUUUUCUUUUGUACCGCGCCCUCGGCGAGCGUCGUCUGGUGGCGCCCUUGAUUCGAUACAUUCCUAUACCGAUCGCCUCUCUGUACGGACGACGAGAAAGUUUUGUUAAAAUAAAGAGCGUCCGCAUACGCAAGGUAAAUCAAGCAUUCGUAAUUUACCAAAAGACUCAACAACAAUUUCUAUGCAAAUUAUCCAGAUUUGUGUAAUAGCCUCGAUUCAUGAUAUUCAAUGUACGUAUAAUAAAAUGAUAUUACAUUAAAUCGUGAUAUCGAAAUACUCUUGUUUUUCAUUUGUAAACUCAACAUCCCGUACAGAGCCAACUAUGCAAUAAAAUAUAUUGCUAUUAUAUGGAUUGAUAUUAGUAUUUUUAAAAUAAAAUAUUCUCCAUCAUGGUGAGUAGACUUAAAAUGAAACUUAAACAACUAAAUAAACACAAAGAAAUAUUCGGCGCAGCCACACAACCGUCCAUCCAUCGUUCCGUCGCGCCAUCCCAAAGUACCCUCUCAGCGAUAUAUUUCCGGCGACCAGAAAAAUCCGUAUUUGAGUUUCCAACAAAACUAUUUGCCACCGUCCCAUUGUACCGCGAGUAUACACAGAUAUAUUUCAGCGGUAAACAGUUCGUCGCGACGGUGAUAGAAACAAAAACAAAUGCUAGCAAGGAUGAAUCGUCCCCAUAAAAUAUGAUAACGCUCAGAAACCUUAUAGUUUCCGGUGGAUGUGCCGUUGCAAAAACGUCAUAAAUAUGCAGUACGGCGAUCCGAUGCGACAGGUUCGUUCUCAGGAGGUGCCGGUCUCGAUAUACUUUGCAUAAACCAGUGUAUAAGAAUUGCUGCUCGACGUGCCGCGUUACGUCGUUUACAGUUUUUACGGCACUCGCGGACACUGCCGUCGAAUUUAGUCGUCAAGUAUAAAUACCAUUGAAAAUACCGAUGUAUACACGAGUAGCUCUUACGCAGCUAAUUCGCAAUAUUUAUUAAUUAAUUUUUGCGAAAUGUACAAUCGCAAAAUACAAGUAGGGAUAGAAUUCUAUUAUCGCAACACGGAGAUAUUUCUUAAUCGUUAAGUCUAUUAUAACUAUCUCUCCUAGUAAUUGUAAUUUAUGUUUAACUGCUAACUUGAAUACGUGUCUUUUUAUCAGAAUUUUUCAAGGAUAAAAAUUUAAUAUAUUUUUUCUGUCUACUGUAGUUUUCAUUGUUAAGUCAAAUAUUUAUUAAAGUCUGUGAUCUUGAAAAAAAAUAUCAAAUAUUUAUAAGACAUUGGAAUAAAUAAUAAAUACUAAUUUUGAUUCAGCAAUUUGAUGUGCAAUAUUACGGUAGGAGUGGAUAAAUAAUAUUAAUUCAAUUUGGCUUGGCGUAAUUUAAAUAAAUUUAAUUGUAACAAUAAUUUCAGGGAAUUGCAAUCAUAAUCAAGUAGACCGUAACUUAGCGUAUCCAAUUAUAUCACAAGGAAUAUGUUUUGCGCAUAUUAUUAUGAUACCUAUUUUGCCAGGAUAUUGCCGAAUACGUAUAGCGCGUUUACAAUUUCCGCAAAUAGUUAAACCGUUCAAUAGUAGUAAAUGAGUUGUACGUGCACACAGUUGUACAAUACGGUCUCUCAUACAUGUGCAAACAUUCGGUAAAAUCUAUUUUAUCGCCGUUCACCGUGUUAACCGCAAGCAGCCUAUGGAUCGGUUAUGGACACGACACGUAAAGCUCAACGGUAUUAUUGUAAUUUCGCACUCAAAAACACCCGUUGAAAUCGGAAGACCAGAUCAAUAUAAUGUACGUAUGUAUAAAAUACAGAGGCCAAAAUACGUAGAGAGACACGCCAGACUCACGCGGCUUCCUUACUGCCCUCCGUUUCUUAUUGUCAGUGCAAAAGGCGAUUUCUCUCCGAAACGACGUUACUCCGCAUUCGGAGAAUUUAAAACGAAGUCACGAUUUCCCAUAUAGAAUGCCGGGUAUCUACUCGCGCGAAAUACUUCGGGAUAAAGGCGCGUAGAGGAUAGCUCGUGCCGAUAUAUAGGAUCUGCGCGAUCUAUACCUUUUAUGGAGCAUUUCUACCAAAAGCAAAAAUAAUAUGUGCUCUUCCCUGAAGUUGUGAUAUUCUGCAAGUCAGCGUUAUUUCGUGAAUUUGUACGCAUUCGUAAAAAAGAUAUCAUAUCUAAAAUUUGCAAAUUUAACAUUUAUAUAAAAAUAAAGAUAUAACAAUUAAAGUGCUUAUUUUCAGAAAUAUGUUAUCACACAAAUAUAUAAAAAUUAUCGUUACAUGUUAUAUGUUUUCUCACAGUAACUUAACAUUCCAACAGAACAAAUAUAUAUUAUUGAAAAGAAAAAAAUAAGUAAUAAAUAUGUAAUUCUGUAUAAAAUAAUGAACAUUUCAUUUUUUCCGUAAAUUUCAAAAUUAAUAUAUUUCAAUACAGCUCGUAAUUUGGUCGCCUUGCUUUUUGAGAGAUGGUUAUAAUCUCAAAGCGCGUAGUAACGAUAGCUCCAUUUAAUUUUCAUGCGAUUCAAAGCGGAUGAAAUGUAACUAAAAAGAAAGUAAAGGGUAUACAAAUUGCGAAUUUCGUUGCUUGCCCGCUUUCGACAAUUUCGUGGCGCUGAAGACUAAAAGCUCGCCAAAUCCUUUGACGUGAAACAAUUCGAGCUACACGGGAGAAUAAUAGUUUGAUGCGUAGAACUUACUCUUUACGUACCAACGGAAUGGUUAUUUCAGAAUUAUUAUUGUUUAUGUAUCAUCUCUGAAAUAUUUGUUGUUGCGUAUUACAUCAUACUAAAAGAAAGCGUAUGAAUCAACACACAUUUUAUUUAUUGAAAUAAAAUAUAUAAAGUACAGUAAUUCGAUAAUUUUAAUUAUCAUAUUAGUUUUUCUCCAUUUUUAGGAAAAGAAUGCUAAAAUAAAUGUACCGAAUGUUAAAUUAAAUCUCUUAUUUUUGUAUCAAGUAUGAAAAAGUUGUAUCCAAUAUUAGCAAACACAAAAUUGCUGCAGUAAUCUUAUUCCUUUAAUUUCAUGAAUAAAAUUGCAGAUUUAAUUAUAAAUACUUUUCACAAUAAAUUUACGUGCAUAAAAUUUUCUAUAACAAUAUUGAAAUUGAUAAGACGAUUAUAAUUUGCGUUCAUUUGGGAUGUUGUAUUAUAGUCUGCAUAUAUUAAAAAUUAAAAACUGUCAUAAUACUAAGUAAAUGCCGAUAUUUUUCUCUCUAUUUUCUGAUGUCUUUAAACGACAAUGCAACUCAUUUUAUUUUAAAGUUUUCCAAUGCAAAAUUUAUGUAAAUGUUUUUAUGUACAUCCUGGACACGCUUAUUUUUGUAGCUUUUUAUUCUAUUCCAAGUAUUUGACAUAAUCGCAAAUAAAAUAAACCUAAAAGAAAUGGAUUUAAUUUGACGUGCGCAUGACAAAAUAAAAUGUGCCUUAUGAAUUUAAUCAAUAAAUUCACAUAGAAUAUAUAUGGGAUAGCCAAGCUAGAGAUAUUGAGCUGGGUGAACAAUAUACAUAGCUAUUUUCACAGAGACCUAUUAUAUUUAUUCUUUCAUAAACUCAUAAGUCAGUAUAAAAUAAAAUGGCUCUAUGCAUAGCGAACUUAUGAUUAUUCAAUAAGUUCUUCAUCAAUUUCGUUUAUGAAAAAAUAGUUGGCUACAUAAAUCUGAUCAAAGAGAAUAAAUCAAUGCCUGCAACUCGAGAAUGGAUACAUUCACAUAUUGCCUGACAAAAUGAAAGGUUAAGAGAUUGCUUGCCGGAUGAAUGAGGAUGAGACUCUCCUGUUCGAGAAAAACGACUCAGGAAUCCAAUUAUCUCGUUUUCUCUCUUUUUAGCUGUCCUAAUUAAAUGCUCAAUUCCAUCACGGAAGCGUUAACCAUUUUAAAGUUCGCUUUAAGUUCGAGCAUCAUAUAUCAUUAAUUUUCACGUAUCAACAAUAGAAAAUAUAAAUUGAUUAAAAAUAAUAAAUAAUUGAUAAAAAUUUAUAUAUAUAAUUAGGCAAUUAAAUAAAUAAAAUAAACUAUAAUUAUUGAAAUAAAUACUUUCAUAUGUGCAAACUCUGCUAAAGGAGAAGUGUGCUAAAAUAAAAGUACUGUAGAUUUUUAAUAUAAAAGAAUAUAAAAUUACAUGAUAUAAUAAAUUAAUAAAAAUUAAUGCAGUACUAAAUGCAGUAUCUUUCUUUAUAUAUAUCUUUCUUUAUAGAAAUAUAUGAAUAUAAUAUUCGAUAUAUCUAUAGUAUAAAUAUUGUGUCGAUUUAUGUGAAAAAUAUAGAAUAAGUUUUUGUUCUAAUAACUAUUUUCACACAAAAUUUAAUAAUACAAACCUUGUGUCCAUUAAUAAAACCAUUCUGUAGUUUUCUAUUCAGUAUUCUUGUAACGCGUGCAAUAUAUAAUAGAAGUUAUCAAUAAAUAUAAUAUAAAAUAAAAUUAAAAUACAAUUGUUAUACAAGUGACUUAUUUUUUAUAGAAAAAGUUUUUUAGAAUUGAAUGCGUUUAUAAACGAGAUAUUUUGCUCGGAUUUUCUUUCUAACCACAAUACUUCCACGAUUAGUGCAUUAAACAUUUAUGGUUCAUAAAGCGGAGGGGGAAAAGAGAGUUGGUAUGGCAACGAGACGCGUAAUUUCAAAACUGUUACCGGAGGCUGCAAGUUUAAAAUGAAUACGGAAAUUCUCCGGCUCGCGGCGUAACAACAUCAGGCACGGAAUCAAGCACAGUGUGUGCGACCAGAAUUUGAGCGUUCCUUUGGGAUUUUCGUGCUGCAUCGAACCACAACACGUAGCUACCGUAAUAACGUUCGAAUUUUUGAAGCGUACGUAUAGAACUGUGCUGGCAUAAUAUUGAUCGCGUGCAAUUUGUUCGUAUUGUUUAUUCUACUGUAUUUUUUAAGCAUGAAAAAUCGCUCGUUGCUCAUACAUAAUAUGUUGCCACUUUUCUUCCCAAUUUCCCGUUUUAUCUCUAUUCUUAGAAUUAUUUUUCUUUUUAUUUAAAAAUUCUGCGAAGAUAUCGUUCGAACAUAAAGCUGUGAAAAUACAUUGCAACCAUUUGCGCGCGCGAUUGGGACUAAAUUAAAAAUGUCGCUUCCGCCUGCACAACCUUGUUUGACAUUACAAUCCGACAAAAAUUCAUGAGCUUUCGCAUCACAACUGACUUUUAUUUUUUUUGUUCAUGGACCAAUCGGACAUUUGCAGUUCGCUACUGGUCUUUUGUGCAUUGCGACCUGCCCUAUUUUUCUUUUUUUUCUGUUGUGUCAUUCGAUGUAUCUCGCAAUUUACAAUUGUAUUCUCGCGUUACCCAUUUUUUUUUUCUACACAGAUUUGCAUGAUGCAAAAUACGCGCGCUUUGAUUUGACAAAAUCGUAACCUAUUCGUAUCUUUUUGUAAACAAAAUGUAAUUUACAUUUCUCGUUCUUUUAAAUACUUUCACAGCAUUAUAUCUAUCUCGUUUAUUAUUAUAUUAGUAUCGCAAUGCUCUUGCAUAAUUUGCACAAAUGGAUUACAUAACGAUGCAUAAUCAGGUAAUACGUGAAAUUCUGAAAGAAUAAGCAAAAAAUAUCUAACUGCUGUUAAAUAAUUUGUUACAAAAGAAUUUGAUUUGAUAUGUGAAUAAGUUACAGUUAAACAACCAAAUUAUGGCUUUGUUAAAUAGUUAAAAACAUUGCGAAUAAUUCAUAAACUCCCCCCUCAUUGAUUCUUUUAUAUUAGUAUCGCGUGUAGCACAAACAAGAGAGAUAGUUGUACUUGAGGAAUGCUUUUUUAUAACAGUAGUUCGGUUCUCAUAGAGGAUAACAAUCAAUCCUAUUCACGAAAAGUGUAAACGCAUUUGAUAUUUACGCAUCUAAUGGGAUUUUCCGCCGCGUUGCGUGUACAGCCUUGCUGCUUUCGUUCCGUUUAAUAGCCGGCGAGAGCUACCAUAAUCCAUGAUGAUAAAUAAUUCCUAUACCCAGCGAAAAUCCUUUUCAGCUUAUUCACCGCGUAUUACUCGUAUAUACGCGGAUUAGAGUAUUUCUCUCUCUCUCUCUCUCUCUCUCUCUCUCUCUCUCUCUCUCUCUCUCUCUCUCUCUCUCUCACUCUGUCGCUCUGUCAUUCUCUCUCUCUUUCCGCGAGCGUUAUUGGUCGCUAUUUUCCAUGUUUUGCCGUCGUUUCAUGCCCUAAACAGCUAAGAAACUCCUAUCCGAUUUAUACGGCAGAUUUUCCGUCAAAACCUGCGCUUCCAAUCAUUGAAGGUUAAAUAGCCUUUCUAGCGAAAAAUUUUCGUUUCGUAAUACACAAAUAUAUUCUUUUAAAUAAAUAAUAGUGAAGAAUGUAAAUUAGUCGAUAAAAUCAAUUUCGUUCAAUGUCUGAUCGCAAAUUAUUGAUUAAUAACUGAUAAAGUAUAAUCAUAUUACAACUGCUAAGUACGUACGUUAAAUCUAUAAAAUCUUUAAAAUCGAGAAUCCAGUUAGUCCAGGAAUGUUCAGCCGCAUUAACGAUUCUAUAUAUAUUUCUGCAAAGGGUUACCUGUCGAUAAUCCGUUAUUUCCGUCGACGCAGAGUAUCUAAUACGAACGUUUUGCAUAUUCUAUCGCCAUAUGGAUCCGUUAAUUUUUUAACAGCACUUCCGGCGAUUCUAUUGUCGCGUCAAAUUAUUCAAUAUUUAACGGUACUUCGUUCAUUUGAAAGUAGAUUGACGCUCAUGUGCAUGUUCUCUCGACCAUUUCAUCGAAUGGUAUUUUAAAAAUCUAGUGGAUGGAGGUAUUUCUAUACGUACGUGUAAAACGAGAGCGAGAGACGGAAAGGGAGAUGAAAGCAAUGACAAGAGGCGAGGCGCGGAAAGGUUCAUUAAUCUUUCCUCGGUUCCUUUUCAAUUUUCCUUCUCUUCUCUUUGCGUAUGAAUGUACCUGUGGCAUCCGACAAUAUAUACACGAUAUGCUUGCUCCUUGUACCCAGGAAAAUAUUCCUCCCCCAGAAGGCAAUUCUUGCAAUUUAUUAACGUCUACAUCUCGGCAUUUAACGUAACAACUCGGACUUUCUACGAUACGGACGGAGACUCGGAGAUGAAUUUGUCGUGGUGCAUCUUGAAUCCGCCAAGACUGCUUUUACUGCGUAAAGGAUGAAUGUUAUAUGACGUCAUAAAUUUAUGAACGUUUUGCAUUUUGCAUGAUAUCUCUCUCCGCUAGUUCAACGGUAAAAUAAAUUCUUCUUAAUAGUAUUUUGAAAUAUUUGUGUUAAAAUAUCAGCGCUUAUAAUAUGUGUGUGUAAAAUCACAGAAGUGUUAAUCUCUUAUAAAUGUGUGCAACACACACAUACACACACAGAUCAAUGUAUUUAUAUUGUAAAAUAUAAAAUAAAUAUUUUUUGUUUCAUCGGAUAGAAUCUUAUAAUGGGAGAAGACUUAAAAAUAAUUUUCGUGAAUAUAAAUAUAUUUUCGCUUUUAUGUUUAAAAAUUGCUAAUUACUAUUUGAUUUUAACCUUUCGCAUACACACUGGGUGAUUAUCAUUCAUAAAUAAAAAUUCAGCGCUCUGUACCUUUUAAGUACCGUAAUAAAUGGAAAAAACUCAACUGCAAAAACUAGAAAAACUAAUUUUUUUUUAACCGCGAAAUAUAAUAAUUUUUUUAAAUCCAAAGUUAAUCCAUAAAUUUUUUCAAAAUUUUAGCAUAAAUAUUUUAAAAGAUAUAGCUGUUUGAAAAUUGUCAUGGAUAACCAUCUACAGUGCGAAGGUUGAAAAAAUAAGUCUGUAUGCAAAGGGUUAAAAUACAAAAUGUUUUUGUGACAAAAACUGAUAAAAAAUGUACUAUUACAUUAUUAAAUUAAUAAUAAAUUUAAUAUUAUUAAUAACAAUAAGCGUUUUAAGGAAAAUUAAAUUGUAAUUAUUAUACUUAAGACGAUUCAAGAACGUAGAAAAGAUGGACUGUAUAACAUUUACAAAUGUAUAGCCUCAUACAUUUUCAUGCUACAUAUUUUAAAUUCUGUAAUAGUAAUUAACACAUUACUUCUAAAGAAAAAAAUGAAAAUCACAGAAAACCCAAGAAUAAGAAAUAAAAACUUGAACGUUUUUAUCUGCACGUAUGAAAAUGACUUUUAAAUUUGGUUUUAUCUAGCGCCGGUCUAUUUCAUUGAAUCGAAAGUAAUAAGGUUGCGGAACAAUCUUAGCUGGAGGGUGAAGAAAUCUCGCGGAAUGCAGAAUCGGAGAUGGGGAGGUGGAUAGCGGAAGCCGGAGGGAACGGAGUCCCGGUGCUCCUCCACUUUUAAUGAGCGGUGAAUCUGCCUGUCCUAUAAUUGAAGCGAUGUUGCGAGCGCAAAUUGCAGAAACCUGCGACUGGUGCGGCAGAGAGAAACUACGGGAGCUAGAAACGCAGCCAGCUAAAAACUUUUCGAGUGGCUAGGUACUCGGAACUUGCUGAAAAGUUCAAGCAUCCUUCGCUUCUCAUUUUUAUUUAUACACUCUUAUGUGCCUAACAUCGUAUUUUUUUUUAAUCGCUUCUAAUUGAUCGUGAAAUAUUGGAUCGCGCAAAUAUUUAUCACUUAAAAUAACCGAAGAGACACAUGUACGUAAUGUGAAAUUCAACUAUAAUUUAAAACAGUGAAGUUAGGAGAAAUUAUAUUUUUUAAUAUUCAAUCGGAGAGACCUAAACAUUAUUUUAAAAUUCUCUUACAAAGAAUAUAAUACAGAAAAAAAACAACAAAGAAAAAAUAAAUAAAUAGAAGGAUAAAAAAUUAUAUUUGUGCAAAAGAAUAAGAAUUUAUGUUCAUUCCUAGUUAAUAAAUGCGAAAUGUGCGAAAUAAUAAUAUCGUAAAAAGUAAUUUUUUAAUAGACUUGAAUGCUUCAUAGUUGUGGAAAGGUAAGGUUAAAUUGUGCAUUACUUAAGCCAACGUUAUGACGUAAAUUUGCAUGUUCUCAGAAAAUUUAUUACUUUAUGAUCCCACCUUAAAUUUUAAGAGCACAACGUGAGUAUAAUUUUAAUUAAACAGCUUUCCAUUCUUUGAGGACCGUCAAAGAAAAGAAUUUCAGAUAUAUUUUUUAAAUAUGUCUAGAUUAAAAAUAUUAAAUACAUUUCAUGCAACAUAAUGCACAAAUCGUUGCAUAUUAUUAUAUUUUUCUUCGUUCAACACAAUCUAUAGAAAUAGUAUAUUGAUUAAAUUUUUUUCUGCUGAGAAUUACGGUGGCAACAAAAAUUAAACGAUCGUCUUGAGUAAUGGAUUCAGCACGUGGAACUCAUCAAAGAUUACGGCGAGUCAUUCGAACCAGCAGAUCGUUGCUGAAAUGCUGCAAUAAAAGGAAUUUAUUGCAUCGUGAGCCAAUGUCACUUAUAUUCUCGUGAGAGACUUUCACGUCUGCUCUAUACAGUUUGUUAGUGUCAAAUACAAAAAUGACGAUUCUAUCGAAAGAUAAAAGAAAUCGAAUUUAUCGCCAUAUAUAUCAUGUCAAUACAUAUCGCAAAUAUUACCAACAAUAGCAGUGAUAAUAAUAGUUGUCACUUUUUUGUUCCAACGAUAAAAUUUAGAACGAAUCCCGUCUAUAAAAUAAAAGGAUUUUGCACGCACUGCAAAUGAAUGGUACGAAUGAUAAGAAAGAACGUAAAAAAUCCAAUAUCAGAUUCAUAUAUGCGCAGUGUGCAACUUGUGACAUGUAAUAUUCUGCGAAAUGCAAGUAAAUAUUAAUAAUAUAGUUUUUAUCACGUGUUGUGUCCCGCGUACCUAUGUUACCUAAAAUGAACCUUGCCGUAAAAAAUAAAAACGCACAACUGAUAUGCACACGUCAUUUGCAGAGACAAUAUUGUCAAAUAGAUAAAGCGGAUCGGCGAAUAAUAAACUAUAUAGAUUCGCUAAAGGUGAAAAAGUGGUGUGACUGGGUUGACGGUACGACAGCGAGGCGCAACGUACAACUGAUUAAAUUGGCGGUGAGGCUCGUGGCAACAUGUGCACCGUAACUCGUGCGGAAAAACGUUCUGGUAACUCGAGCUAUCCGUCACAAUCAAUCAGGACGGGAGGAAUGUCGGUUAAAAAAAAUGAGCACUCCAAUAUCUUUGCAAGCUUUAACUGUGGCGUCCGAGCUAAUAUUGGGACGUGAUAGUGCUCGUAAAAUUUUCUUAGCGAGCGUCCUAAUCAUGAAAAGCUCAUCUAGCCUCUCCUUACACAGAAAUUUACUAAUCCUUUUUCUUGUCGGUUUUUCGCCGCAAGGGAAGAAAAACAAAACUAAUAGAAAUGAUUCUUGAGAAUUAAGAGAAAGUUGUGAAUUCAAGUUCUUCAAGCUCUUCUUUUGUUAUUGCGUAAUCGUACUCGCAGAAAUUUCCUGCCAGAUUUAAUCGACUUACUUUUUUUUUUUAAUUGACUUUAAUUGACUUACAUCACGUUAAAAUGGUGUAUGUAUCGUCUACAAAUAGUAGAAAUGUUAAUAGAGAAUUAUUCCGUAUUCAUUAGAAGAGUUGGGAGUUUCUUGAAAUUUCGUGAAAUCUUUGUGGACUUAUCGUAACCACAAAGUUGUACGUGUGUCGUGACGGCUACGACGUGACGUACGAUAUCGCGCUAGAAAUAUCGAUCGAGCAAUUAUUCUGAUAUGAGUUACGGCGGACAACGAUCGUGAAUUAGAUUAAGCCGGUGACACAUGGUGAUAUGAGUUACAGGAUCAUGUCCGACGUAGACCAAAGCGCCGUGAAGAUAAUAUGGGAAAUGUGGAGUGCGGCGCACUAUCUCAUCCUUUCUCUCUCUUUCAUCUCGGACACUCCUCUCGCUUCGGCUUACCCUACUAGUUCCCUACGAGCAGUUCGGUGUAAACGGCUAUCCGGAACGGGUCAGCAAGAUUAGCCGAAUCACAUGGAAGCACGAAAUGGUCGGUUGGCAGUGUAAUAAAUUCCAUUCUGUUAUGAAUUCUGGUUUCUAGUUCAUCAUAAACGAAUACGCUGUCGGGAAAUGUCGAGCAAGUUUCGAUAAAGAUGUCUCGAUAUUGGUUAUCAAACGGAAUAAUAGAGAUCACUUGUCAUAUAUAUGUACAGAUCUAAUAUCAACAUAUUACUGGAUAUUGACGUAACAGUACAAUGCCAGAGAAUAGACCGCUGUCAUCAAACGACAUAAUAUGUCUCGCGAAAGCUCAACAUCGCCAAAUAUUGGACAUGUUAAUAUCAUCCGUUCAUCAUAUACCGUUCACACGCGCGCAAUAUAGAAAAUAUAUUAAAACUCAUUACAAAAGAAUAUUUGUAUAAUUGUUUUACUCUUACUUUUGACUUUAAUUUUUAAUUUUAAAAUUACGAUCUUUCUACAAUAUAAUGUUUCUUCAAUCAUAUCAUUUGCAUGCUUGUUUUAUUUAUAGAGUAUUUAUACUCUUGUAGAUAUUAUGACCAUUCCGUUAUUAGAUAAAGGAUUAUAGUAAUAAUUUAUAAAAUUACUUGUUUAAUAGCAUUCUGUUAUUUGUAAAUCAUUUUUAUUAGUUUACAGGCAAUUAUUAUUAAAUGUUGAUUAUUUUAUAAUUAUAUAAUUAUAUAAUUAACAUUUUACUUAUUUUACAUUAUAGUGGCAUAUCUCGAAAUCUUUUAGAAAACUUAGAAAAUUGGACAACAGAUAACUAGUUUGUAAAAAAUAAAAAAUAGAGAAAACUGUUGCUAAAUAUAUAAUUCUCAAAAAAUAAAUUAGCUAUUCAAGUUAAUUGUACAUGACAAAUGUUUGUUAGUGCUAAGUCAGCACAGCUUUUUGACUUUUAAUUUUAGUUCUUUUAAAAUAGCGCAACAACAACGUCUAGACAAAAUAUAUUAAAAAUGCUGCAAAAACACUGUAUAUCCAUAAGUUCAUGCUAGCAAAUUUAUUGCUGGAACACUAAAGUGUAAACUAAUGAAGAUGACUAUUAAAUAAUGAUAUUAAAAUUGUGCUUAUAGAUUUACGUAUCUCUAGUGUCCGGAAUCAAAUUAAUCAUUAUUACGAACACUGUGGAAUGAUCAUAUCAUUCACCAGAAAAUAAAAGAAAAUGUCAUCACCGUUACAAAGUAUCAUGUAUACAUGUGUGCAUAUUUAAUCUAUUGUAAAUAUUGAAUUUUAUAUAUUUUUGGAUUUCUCUCGUAUUAUUUAAAAUAAAUAAAAUAAAAAAAGCAUAGUAUAAAGUUCAAUCUGUUUUCUUUUCGUCUCUUUCGUCCAUUCUAUUAUCCUUCUAUAUAACAGUUUAAGGUCAUAGUAUCUUCGUUGGUUUAGUAAGAUUAUCCGGAUCACAAUGAAAGCACGAAGUUGUUUUCGAUACUAAAGGAACCACGAUUUGUUUUUCAUUCUCCAUAACAAACCUGGUAAGCAAUUCAAAGCAUCAAGUAUCGAUUGAAAUUUACUGAAAUAAUUAAUCAUAAACACAUUUUUAUAUUUUAAUUAACUGACAGCGUAUACAAGUACAUGCAGAAGAUAUUUCAAAAAUAAUAUUAUUAGUUUUCUUGUUUAUCAUUAUUAAGAAAUAAAGUCAAUGAAUAAAUGAGUCAGACAGCGGAAAAAUGUGUUAAUGUCAGAAAACAUAUAUCUUGUUAUAAAUAUCGUGUGAACUCGUGAAAUCCUACCAUUUAUAUCUUUGACUGCGUAGAUAUAUGAUGCACAUCGACUUUCAACUUUAUUCUUUUGUCUGGUCGAGUAUAAUCUUUUCUCCUUAGAUUGCGACGCUAUGCUUUAUUUUGAUUCACUCGCUAAUAUUUUUUUAUUUUAAUAUAAUCGGGUGAUAACUAUUAAUUGAAUUUGAUUGAUGUAAAAGUUGAAUGAUGAUUUAUUGUAUACCUGCCAUUUAUAUUCGUAACAUGGAAACAGAUUGUUCUCGUUGCAAUUAUUUCUCUAACAAGUUUUAACACGUUGAUCGCCCAUAAAUCGAGCACAAAUUGAGUUUGGGGCAGAAUCCAAAUUCGCGGAAAACUAUUAAAAACUUUUGUUACUAUUAAAAACCGUUACGAAUUACUUGCAAAGUGUCACGUUAAUUAGAUGAAGAUAACUGUCACUUAUGUCUCGGUAACAUGAUUUAACGUGUUAUUACAAUACGAUAGCUUUAAAUCUGCGAUGGAAGCUAUUUUAAUAUAUACGGUAAAAAUAUCGAUGUAUCAUCAAAUUAUUAACAUCAUAUAAAACCCUCUUGCAAAUCAUUCGUUAUGUUAUGACAUAGAAAAUUGUAGAUGUGAUACGUUUCAAUAAAAAAAGAACGCGUGAUGCACGGAACGUAUAUAAUACAUUUUCUAUACGUACAAUCUCUCAUUGGUUUGCAUUGAUUACAGGAAAAAUGCAUAAAACGCGUAAUAACGUAAUUGAAUACCACGGUUGAAUAAUUACAGUGAAAACUUACAUAGAUAUAUUUACGGUGGUAUUAACCCGGAAAUGGUAAGCGCUUCUCAUCGAAUAUCGAUCGCGUGCAAUCCAGGUGAAACGUCGGCGCUCCUUUCCUCGCUUCUCGCGUCAUAAAUUAGCAGCGAAUUCGCUUCAAGUAAACCGAAGGAGGAACCAUGAGGACUUCGACGAUUAGACUCGUCGGUCGAAAGUUGCCCAAGUUUUCUUUCCUCCGGCCCACUUCGGCACCUUCUUCCAACGUUAUAACCAACCAUCUACCGCACGCUUCUCGUGAGCUCCCGAAACUUACUUCUAUCGAGAGCAUCGAAGAGCGGACGAGCGAGCGAGCGUGUCAGCGGAGGAAAGCGUGGAGAUGCAUCCGCAUAGAAGAAAGAAGGAAGGAAGCCACGGUAACUUCUCUCGCGCGCGCCUCCCUCGCGCUUCUCCUUUUUCUUCCGUUUCUUCCCUCGAAAACUGCGCCGGCAACGAAAAGCUGAUCGUACUCGCCGCGGAAUCGAAAAGAUGAAAAGCUAACUUCGAGGCGCCAUCUGAUAAUAUACCUAGAGCAACGGGGGGGGAUCGAGGCCGUAAUUGGUCUGACUUCCUAUCGAUGCUGAGUCGAUGGAGCCCACGCGACGGAGCCGACGAAGAAACUUGGCUCUAUCGAUUGCUCCAUACCGGUGCGGCGCGGCGCAGCGCGGUGGCUGGCAGGGCCGAUCCGCGGGUCAGCGAUUCGAGUGCGUUUCCCUUUCCCGCCUCAACUUCGGGUAUUCCCCCCGACUUUACCAUCCGCUGUUUCUAUUCUCACCUCCAAAAUUUGAUCCCUCGAUGCACCGCUCUCUUCCUCUCCGUCGCCCAUGCUCGAGGACUCGAGAACGUGUUCGCAUAAUUCAUAGGAUUUUGGCGUUAAAGCGAGAAUGGAACUUUCCCGGCUAGGUCCCGAGUAGCGAGAAUUCAGCUAAGUGAUACGCCGGUGCAUUCCCGUCAUAGAUUCUCCUCGUUGACAGCGACAGCACCAACGAACUGGGUCGACUUUGGAGCACCCGAGGUCUCUGUCCCUUGCUGUUCUCUCGGUUGUUUGUACAUUGUUGGAUGCUUUGUAGCGAAUUCCGUAGAUAACAUCACUCGCAACAGCACGGAAUCGCUCCAAAAUCAAGCAAAUCAAGUAGUUAUUUCCUUGUUUAAUGAUUGUUUAGGAACCUCACUCGGAUUUGCUCUCAAAGUUCGCGGACAGUUGUUCGCAAAGUUAAUAGAUAUGCUAGCUUAGCUUAAAAUCGGUAAUGGUUGUAAAAAUUUUUGCUGCCAAUCUCAAGGUGUAUAUUGCAAGUAGAGUCCAAUUUCCCAUCUUUUUUAGUUGUUAUUCUUAAUAAUAGUAUCUAAACUGAUUCCCAUGCAGAAUGUAAUCUGUGAUGUAUCUAAUAUUUAAAAGCUAGAUUCUUCUCUAUAGCUAAUCGUAUACGAUUAAAAAAACAGCAAGCUUGCAAUAUAAGUGUUUGAUUAUUGUACAUAUUGUAACUAUACAUUGUACGCCCCGAAUAAACGUAUUUUGUAUUAUUUUACAGCAAAUAUUGCAGACUGGGGCGGCAAAUAAUACAGAGGUUGGAGUGAAGGCAAGACAAUUGAGUAAUUAUUUAUUGGCUCUUGGUAUUCAGCAUCGCGAAGUCUACAAUUAGCGGAGAUAGGAGAUUACCUAAGCGUGCUUACCGUCGGACUUUCGACCAAAGACCUUCAUUAAGAACAAUACCGCCAAUGAGCUUAGUCGAAUUCAACACUCCAGACUAUUGUCUUAUCAACGACUGAAUAUAUGCGGUUUAAUGCUUUGUAGUCAAUUCCAUGUAUAAGUACAAUGCAUUACAGGGACCGCUACAAGUGGAAUAAUCGAGUAUGGACUUAUCCCUUUAAAAUAGCAUACACGGGAAAAACAAUUCUGAAAAAUCUAAUAUAAAAAUUUAUUUAUAGCUAUAUAUAUUCUACAUUUUCAAUAAAAACAAUUUUCAUUGAAGCUAUUAUUAUCUAAUUGCAGAAGAAUUGAGAAAGUCUAAUAUACAUACGAUCUUCUUGGAAACCAGAUUAAAUUACCUUAAGACAUAUCUUACAUUCAAUUCUUAUUUAAGAAUCAUACGGAAUCGCUACUGAGAAACAUUAUAAUAAUAUAUUCAAAUUUUCAACUUAAUUACGAUUCUUAAAAAAUUCAUUAUUUCUGGAUAUAGCAAUAGAACUUUCUAUCUAUAAGUAUCAGUUUAAAUGUCAGUUCAAAUAUGAAUUUUUUUAAUCGUUAUUUAAAAAUGAUUGAAUUAUAUAAUUGUUUUACAAGUACAAAAUUUAUUGGUUAAACUCUUAAGUUAUCUGUUAAGUGAUUUUGAGAUAUAUGUACUGCUAUGAUGUAAAAUAAGUUAAUAAUUAUAAUAAAAAUGUAAGCAUAAUUAUAAAGUAAGUAAUAUUUUAUCAGAAUUGCGUAAACUCGUAAAAAUAUGUGCAAAUAGUAAAAUUACACACAGAAUAAUAAAUUAAUAGUAUACUGGGAAAAAUGUUAUAGGAAAAAUACCGUGCUUGAUUAUAAACCGAAUGCAAACGCUUUUCUAGUGUAAAUUUAUAAGGAAAUAAAAAAAUUACCAUUUUUUAUGCACAAUUUCAAAUUAAUGAAUCAAUUUAAAACAAAAAGGAUAAAAUUUCAAAUUUAGUACAGUAGUAUAUUUACGAAAAACAUUACACCCCACAUUUCUACACAUCACGAUAAUUUUUGACGAAUUUUUUAUAUGAGAAUUAACUAAUCUCUUUCUCCGUUUACAAAACGCGUAGGUUAACAGAAUUGCAAUAAUGCUUUUCACAUUCAUUUACAAUUUACAGAUUACUAUUCUAAUUUAUAUUUAGUGCGUUCGUUAAACAGCUUAUCUCCAUUUGAUAUAAAGUUAUAUAUUAUUAUAUAAUUAUGUAUUCUCUCUACUAUCCUAAAUCUCUUCCGUUGACAACAACACUGCGAACGAACUGGGUCAACCGAGCUUUCAACUCACCCCGCCCCUCUUGUCCGUAUCUCACGGAUUGUUCCACAUUGCCGCUUCGUAGGAGAUUCUGAGCACGACGGUCGAUAUCAUGGAGAAAUAGCGGGACGUGCAUAUACAGAGAAAAAAAGAGAUGUAAAAGAGCUCAUUUAUCUGAUUUUUAAAUCCUUGCGCGUCUGUUACAUUCGAUGCAGAUACGUUUGAUUGAAACUAGCGAUGCAGAUUUAAUGCGGAUUUAAUGCGCAUACGAAUACAAGUUCUACAAUUUACGGAUUUCACGUCAUUGUUCGGCUUAUUUAUUAUCCUCCUCUUUUACUUUACUUCCGCGUCUGAUAAUCGAUGCGAUAAAAAUAUGGUUCGACAUUAUAUGCGCGGGGACAGCUAUUGCACGUCCACGAAGAAUUACAUCGUAUUUUAAAUUGAUGAAUACCUCGUCCAUCUCAUAUCGGUACAAAUUUAAUUAAAGUUCAAUUAAUACCCGUUAAAUCCGUAUUAAUUCGGAAAAUCAAUCAGAUUUAAUUAUCGCGAAUACUAUUGUACAGUUCAACCCGCCAAAGCGAAAUAUUAAACGUGUCAGCAAAACGUAUCGACGUGAAUCAUUACUCGUUAUUACAUUUUCUUCGCGGAUUUUACCGGGCGGCAAAAAUUCUCUGAAGAAAAUAACGCGUGUUUACCUCAGCGUAUAAUACGUAUGGAAGUCGAUGUAUUAUUUUAUAUCUCAAAGUGAUAAGGUAUAAAAAAAUUACGUACAAUUUCCAACGUACUAAACUAUGCAUUGUGGCUCAACGCGGAAUAAUCUCGGCUGUAUUCCAUUUUGAGCUUCAAAAUGAAUCGGGAUUAACUGUAGAAAUUGUGUGUUUCCACAUCACAAUAGAAUUUAGUAAACAUGUUUGUCUUCGCGGGACAUUGUCGAGAACAGUGAACAAGUUUGCGUGCCGAUCGGCCGAUCGGCCGGUACUGCCAGUGUUAUACUCAUGAAACGUGCAUGGUACGUGGCAGGACGGCGGCCUAUGAUACGAGCUCGUAAAAUCGUCGAGAGAUUCGGACGAUAACCAGUGUUUUCCAAUUUCCGCCACGUCAAACGGCUAGCCAGAUAUAGAUGCAUAUGUCGAUGAUAUUCGCCAAUAACUCGAAAUCUCCGGUUCAUAAAGAGGCUACUCUACUAUGUCGACAAUAGACAACGAAUACAUUUCGUAAAAUCCUUUACUGAUUUUUGUCUUGUCUUUUUGUUUGCACUGAUUUUACGUACGUGAUUUAAAAAAAAAAAGGGAACGAAAACAAUGGUAAUGAACAUCGCAAUAUAAAUGCACACAAAGCAUCGAGCGUUAUGCAAGAGUUUUACUUGAAAACUAUUCUACUUCAAAACUAGUUAACCAAGAUUGUUAUUAUAACGCAAAUAUAUCGCGCGGAACUUUAGUCUAUUACAUUAUAACGUUAAAUUACCAUACAAGUUUGCGUGUAAUAGAACCGAUCGAAUAGAAAAAUGUUAGUAGAGGCAAAUUUUUUCCUUACGCAAUAGCAUUAUCAAACUAAACUCGCAAAAUAAUAUUCUCAUACUUCCAAGUCUUAUUUUGUUCGAAAAGAAAUAAGCAAUUGUGGUAUAGUUGACAGUGCGAUUGUUCACAAAGCUGGUAGAAUUAUGAUAUCGUGUUGUUAUCAUGCCGCCGUCAAGAUACAAUCCGAAAAUUAAUAAUAAUCAUACCGAAGACAACGUAAUUGCGGCACUUAUCACGAUGACUGUACAUUUUGGACUUUGAGUAUUCGAUGUGUAAACGAUGUGUACACCUCUAGAGAAAAUAGAAACGUCUAGCUGGAGAGAAAGGAGAGAAAGAGACGUCGGAAAGUUGGCUACUUUCCUAGCGCAUGCCUCGCUUGUGCCUCGCUUAUAUCACGAUAUACGGUAGGGGGAUAUACGGUAUACGAACAUUAUGCAACUUACUUCGUGAAGGGUGCACACGCGCGUACUGUGCGAAAUCAGAACGGGUUAUUUUCCGGUGACAGGUGAUACGGGACCUAUUCCCGUUGUAUGCAACCAGUGCCAGCGAUGUGCCACUGCGAUGCACCGGUAUACAAAGACUCACGAGUAUGUAGGCACACGACGAAGGCAUGUAAGUAACAUCGGACAACUGAGCGGAACGACACGAGGGGGUACGGUAUUGGACGGAAAGCUGAACUUUGUGUACCAUGGCCGAGGGAAAUAUCCCCGUGAGGGCGUCAUUGAACCACUCUGUGUCACGCUGUGAACGCAAACGCUCGUUUCAACGACAGGUGACAGGGUUACAUCUGCCGAAUGCACCGAAUCACAGAGAAUGAGUUUAGGUAAAGAAACCUAUAAUAAUAUCUGCGAUAUCUGUUAUUAAAAUUAGUUUAAUGAACCUGGAAUAUACAAUUAAUUUAAUGAAUUAAAUGAAUAUAAUAAUAAUUAGAAUUAUCUUGGAAAUAUCGAAAAUUAUUUCCCCAUAAAUCUUUGUCCUUCGUAUUAUAAUUAAAAUGGUCAAUUAUUAUAUAAAACGAUCAGUCGCAUAGAAAUAAGUAUUUUUUAAAAAUAUGUGAACCUAUUAUUUCUCUUUAAACUUACUUCUAAAAUUAUACCCACAUAUUAAAAAACAUUCUGUGUAUUUUAAGGUAUUAUUAACACAAUUGUAAAAUAUCUUCAUCUUGUAAACAUCU